UCAAGAUGAGAUUUCCCAACUUCGGUUAUAAGAUCCCUCAAAGAUGAUGAGGUUAAUAGGUUCGAGGUGGAAGUGCAGUAAUGUAUGGAGCUGACGAAUACUAAUCGAUCGAAGACUUAAUCAAUUU
rnacentral:rRNA from 1 species